UACGUAGGGUGCAAGCGUUGUCCGGAAUUAUUGGGCGUAAAGAGCUCGUAGGCGGUUUGUCGCGUCUGCUGUGAAAACCCGAGGCUCAACCUCGGGCCUGCAGUGGGUACGGGCAGACUAGAGUGCGGGAGAGGAGAGUGGAAUUCCUGGUGUAGCGGUGAAAUGCGCAGAUAUCAGGAAGAACACCCGUGGCGAAGGCGGCUCUCUGGAACGCAACUGACGCUGAGACGCGAAAGCGUGGGGAGCAAACAGG
rnacentral:rRNA from 1 species